UUGACAUGUCCGGAAUCCUGAAGAGAUUUGGGAGUCGCGUCGCAAGAGAACCGGAACACAGGUGCUGCAUGGCUGUCGUCAGCUCGUGUCGUGAGAUGUUGGGUUAAGUCCCGCAACGAGCGCAACCCUUGUCAUUAGUUGCCACCAUUCAGUUGGGCACUCUAAUGAGACUGGCCGGUGACAAACCGGAGGAAGGUGGGGAUGACGUCAAGUCCUCAUGGCCCUUAUGGGUAGGGCUUCACACGUCAUACAAUGGUCGGUACAGAGGGUCGCCAACCCGCGAGGGGGAGCCAAUCCCACAAAGCCGAUCGUAGUCCGGAUUGGAGUCUGCAACUCGACUCCAUGAAGUCGGAAUCGCUAGUAAUCGUGGAUCAGCAUGUCACGGUGAAUACGUUCCCGGGUCUU
rnacentral:rRNA from 1 species